GGUUGUGGCUCAGUGGUAGAGUGCUCCCCUAGCAAGUGUGAGGCCCUGGGUUCAAUCCUCAGCACCA
rnacentral:tRNA from 1 species